rnacentral:rRNA from 1 species
UACGGAGGGUGCAAGCGUUAUCCGGAUUUACUGGGUUUAAAGGGUGCGCAGGCGGAUAUGUAAGUCAGUGGUGAAAUCUUUGGGCUUAACCCGAAAAUUGCCAUUGAUACUAUAUAUCUUGAAUGCUGUGGAGGUAAGCGGAAUAUGUCAUGUAGCGGUGAAAUGCUUAGAGAUGACAUAGAACACCUAUUGCGAAGGCAGCUCACUGGGACGGUAUUGACGCUGAGACGCGAAAGCGUGGGGAGCAAACAGG